CGCGGCCUCGCGUGCGUGUGUCCAUGGGGGGCACCAACCGCCGAUGGAUCCACAGCUACCCGCGCUCCAUUGUCGGCUCUUCUCCCCUCUCCACAAGAACAACGAGAAGUCAGUGCAAGUGGUUGCGGCGAUGGUGUGCCCCAAGUGUUGGGAAAAGCUAGGGAAUGACGACUAGAACAAGGGCGCCAGGUACAUAAACGAAAGCAGCGGCGGCAAGAACAACAAGAUCGAACUCCUCCCCCAAGAAAACCAGGUAUAUUGGUUCCAAUUCGGGGAGAUGUUUUGCACGAGGGCCUGUGGUGAGUAGUACUAACUUUCUGAUCUAUAAGAUGCAGUUAUAUAUUGGUUCUGAGACACCAUCCUAAGAUGAAAAGGACUCCCUUCUUUCUGGAAAGAGAUGAUUAUGCGCUAGAACUUGCAAUGGGAGACGAGUGAGCAGUGCCUAAGAGGAUUGUGGUUUUAAGCUCUGUUUCCGCAGUUGGUAGCUUAUAGAGUCACAAGGACCUGCUUCGCAAGAGGGGUCGAGAAUUUUUCUUUUCUGCUCUGUUCACAGUUCUCCCAUGUUCCGUUGAGUCCUAGUAGUAGCUGGCUUGUGCAGAUGUGCUUCUUGUAAAGAUUUCACUUUUUGAAAUUUUAGAAGUUUACGUAAUACUCUAUUUGUUGAUUGGCUUCUCAGAAAAACCUUUAUCUAUGCUUAA